UACGUAGGGUGCAAGCGUUAAUCGGAAUUACUGGGCGUAAAGCGUGCGCAGGCGGUGAUGUAAGACAGGUGUGAAAUCCCCGGGCUUAACCUGGGAACUGCAUUUGUGACUGCAUCGCUGGAGUGCGGAAGAGGGAAGCGGAAUUUCCGGUGUAGCGGUGAAAUGCGUAGAUAUCGGAAGGAACACCAGUGGCGAAAGCGGCUUCCUGGUCCAGCACCGACGUUCAGGCACGAAAGCGUGGGGAGCGAACGGG
rnacentral:rRNA from 1 species